rnacentral:ncRNA from 1 species
GUCGAUUUGGAGGUUGUGCCCUUGAGGCGUGGCUUCCGGAGCUAACGCGUUAAAUCGACCGCCUGGGGAGUACGGCCGCAAGGUUAAAACUCAAAUGAAUUGACGGGGGCCCGCACAAGCGGUGGAGCAUGUGGUUUAAUUCGAUGCAACGCGAAGAACCUUACCUACUCUUGACAUCCAGAGAACUUAGCAGAGAUGCUUUGGUGCCUUCGGGAACUCUGAGACAGGUGCUGCAUGGCUGUCGUCAGCUCGUGUUGUGAAAU